UACAGAGGGUGCAAGCGUUGUUCGGAAUUAUUGGGCGUAAAGGGCGCGUAGGCGGUGCGGUAAGUCCGCAGUGAAAUCUCUGGGCUCAACUCAGAGUCUGCUGUGGAAACUGCCGUGCUUGAGUGUGGGAGAGGUGAGUGGAAUUCCCGGUGUAGCGGUGAAAUGCGUAGAUAGUCGGGAGGAACACCUGUGGCGAAAGCGGCUCACUGGACCACAACUGACGCUGAGGAGCGAAAAGCGUGGGGAGCGAACAGG
rnacentral:rRNA from 1 species